rnacentral:lncRNA from 1 species
CUGAGAUUGUGCCACUGCACUCCAGCCACUGCACUCCAGGAAGACCCUCUCAGAAAAAAAAAAAAAAGAAUUUGGCCGUUAUGUGGAGGACUGGAAUUGAGAAGGGCAAGAGCGAGGUAGAAGAGUGGUCUAGGGAGAACAGUUAGGGGCUAUUGCAAUUAUCCAGCAAGAGAUCUUGGACCAGGAUGGCAGCAGUGGAGGUGGUAAAAUGUGGUUGGAUGAAGCGUACGCUUUGAAGGUAUCAACAGGACCAGCUGAUGGAAGGGAGUCAACAGGACUAGCUGAUGGCUGUAAACUGGGGGGUCACUAGCUAUCAGAUGGCAUUUACUUAAAGCCAUGGAAGUAGGUGAGCUCCCUUAUGGAGAGGGAAUAGGAAGGAGGUAGACCAUUCUAUCAAAAUGCUCUUUCUACAGGGCACUUCUCACUGAGAUAUUAUUUAUCUGGGAUUUAUAUUAUUUAUUCAAUUUGUUUUGUGUUUGGUUCUAUUAGAAAAGCUCCAUAGGGGCCGGGCACGUUGGCUUUUGCCUGUAAUCCCAACACUUUGGAAGGCCGAGGCAGGCGGAUUACCUGGGGUCAGGAGUUUGAGACCAGCCUGGCCAACAUGGUGAAACUCUGUCUCUACUAAAAACACAAAAAUUAGCCGGGCGUGGUGGUGCGCCUGUAAUCCCAGAUGCUGAGGAGGAGAAUCGCUUGAACCCGGGAGGUGGAGGUUGCAGUGAGCCGAGAUCGCGCCACUGCACUCCAGCCUGGGCAACAAGAGCGAAACUCCCUCUCAAAAACAAACAAACAAACAAACAAACAAACAAAAAACAAAAAAAAGAAAGAAAGAAAGAAAAGGGCCAGGUGUGGUGGCUCACACCUGUAAUCCCAGCACUUUGGGAGGCUGAGGCAGGCGGAUCACGAGGUCAGGAGAUCGAGACCAUCCUCACCAACACGGUGAAACCCCGUCUCUACUAAAAAUACAAAAAUUAGUCGGGUGUGGUGGCGGGCGCCUGUAGUCCCAGGUACUCCGCAGGCUGAGGCAGGAGAAUCGCUUGAACCCGGGAGGCGGAGGUUGUAGUGAGCCGAGAUUGAGCCACUGCACUCCAGCCUGGGUGACAAAGUGAGACUCCAUCUCAAAAGAAAAAAGCUCCAUAGGAGAAGGAACCUUGUCUCUUCACCACAUAAACUGUGUUUGGAUUCGCAAUCGAGUUGGGAAAAAAAAAUCAGUCUGGAAGAGCCACACCAAACCGCUAACAGCUACUGUCUCUGGGAAUAGAACAAGGAGUUUGGUUGGCGCGAUAUACCGCCCCUGAACCUCUAGCCACAAUAAGGCUUAAUUAAUGACCGGACGACUUGAAAGCGCCUUCCACUGUUUAUCUCUUAAAUCUGCAACGAAAUGCAACAAAAACGCAAGAAAUAAACAAUAGAAGCCAGUCUUACUGCACACUGCAGAAGCCAAUAAACCCCAAAUGUAGCUCAAAACAAGGUGUCACGCAAACUUCUGAUUUUUUUUUGUUUUACACUGAAUCUCUGUCACUCUGACUAGAGGGCAGUGGCGCGAUCUCGGAUCACUACAACCUCCGUCUUCUAGAGUCAAGAGACUCUCCCGCCCCAGGAGUCUCUGCCACUCUGACUAGAGGGCAGUGGCGCGAUCUCGGAUCACUACAACCUCCGUCUUCUAGAGUCAAGAGACUCUCCCGCCCCAGCUUCUCCAAUAGGUGGGAUUGCAAACAGGCACCACCACGCCCGAAUAAGUUUGUGAACAUUUGGUACAAAUAACAAAUGACCAAGUUCCUUGGUUGUAGUUGCCUAACUUUUAAUACUUAAAAAUGUAGCCUCAGGAAAUAAGAGGCCUCAAAAAAUUGAAUAAAAACUCACAACUUUCUCUCCACGGAAAUCUUUAGUAAAAGGCGAAAGAUUUAUGCGCUUUGAAGAGAAACCCGAGUAUAUUCGUGACUUCCGCUUCGAACCUCGCAGGGAGAACUAACACUUAACACACUUAUGGUUGUUGGAUGCCUGCGUGGUACGCACUCCCUAUAUGUAGUUUAUGCACACAGAUGCGUGUAAGAGGCAUCAUGCUCUAAAACAGUGCAGAAAUGCGCGCACAGAGGGAGUGCAAGCAUCUUGAGGGUAUCUUUUCGUGGUGCACCAUGGGUAUGCAAAUCACAGGCGGCUCCGGGCUGUUCCGCGCCACCGGGGAAGCCAUGGGUCACUGAUCUCCUUUGCUCUCCUAUGCUCCUCUCUGCUGGUCCUCCUGGGACCCGCACCCCGUGGGCGGCGCCGGGUGCGGAGUCCUUUGCGGAGCUGGUGUUCGUCCCAGGGGUUAAGGUCCUGUCCCGCCGUCCUUACCCGCAGGCUGUGGCCACUCUUCAAGGCCUCUGCUUAGUGGAGCUGUUCAACUUUCACAGAACAAACAACUUACGCUGUGUCCUCACUAACUGCUAGCACCUCAGUUUCUGAGCAGUUCCCGCAACUGAUCCACUGGCUGACUGGCCAAAGACACCUCUCGGCUGUCAGGACAACCAACUUACAGAGGCCUUUGCCUUGGAGGUUGCUCUGGAACCUGGCUCCUUUCCCUGGGUCCACAAACCUCCUGAGAAGCUCCCCAGACCCUGUUGACCUCUCUCUGCUUCAACUGGCUGCUUUCCUGAUCUGCCUCCACCUCGCCUUCCACCUGCUGCAUGGCUUUGCCCCUCUGCCUUGCCGUUUCCCGUGCGGGUGAAGCAGGUAGGUGGAGGUGAGUCUGGAGAGACGGGCAGGCUGGAAUAUGGUGGCUCUGAAAGCCACACAGUGGGGUUCUUUUUUUUCUGCUCUCGGUCUCCAGAUUGAACCCAGUAGGAUUUCACACCAACAAAAUUUGUUAUCGUUUUGUAUAGUAAGCACUUAAUCCAGAUGAUGUUACCAAGUAUAUGACAAAAAUCCAGAAUCUGGGGUCUUUUCCACCCAGAACUAGAGAAGCUAAUACCUCAGGUCCUGGCACCAGAGAAGCUCCUUCCAAUAGCUAAUGUUCACUUGCAAACUCCCCACUCUGUCCAAAAAAAAGCACUGAAGUCAUCUGAGAUUAGUUCACAUAGAAUAUAUUUCAUUCUUUAAAAAAUAAAACUUUCAUCAUAGCUA